AUAUUGCACGUAGAGUGUAGGUGAGAAGCUGCGUUCAGGUUAGAGCCGAGCGAAGCGAGACAGCGUUGCGCUUGUCGCAACGACCCGAAGGGUGAGGCCAAAGGCCGAAUAAUCCUGCACGACCCACCA
rfam:Providencia sneebia DSM 19967 chromosome, whole genome shotgun sequence.